rnacentral:rRNA from 1 species
AGAGUUUGAUCCUGGCUCAGGAUGAACGCUAGCGGCAGGCUUAACACAUGCAAGUCGAGGGGCAGCGGGGAGGAAGCUUGCUUUCUCCGCCGGCGACCGGCGCACGGGUGAGUAACACGUAUGCAACCUGCCCCUGUCAGGGGGACAACCCGCCGAAAGGCGGGCUAAACCCGCGUACAUGCCACCGGGGCAUCCCGGAGGCAGGAAAGGCUUCGGCCGGACAGGGAUGGGCAUGCGGCGCAUUAGGCAGUAGGCGGGGUAACGGCCCACCUAACCGACGAUGCGUAGGGGUUCUGAGAGGAAGGUCCCCCACACUGGUACUGAGACACGGACCAGACUCCUACGGGAGGCAGCAGUGAGGAAUAUUGGUCAAUGGUCGGGAGACUGAACCAGCCAAGCCGCGUGAGGGAGGAAGGUACAGAGUAUCGUAAACCUCUUUUGUCAGGGAACAAAGGCGGGGACGUGUCCCCGGAUGAGUGUACCUGAAGAAAAAGCAUCGGCUAACUCCGUGCCAGCAGCCGCGGUAAUACGGAGGAUGCGAGCGUUAUCCGGAUUUAUUGGGUUUAAAGGGUGCGCAGGCGGUCUGUUAAGUCAGCGGUCAAAGCCCGGGGCUCAACCCCGGCCCGCCGUUGAAACUGGCAGUCUCGAGUUGGAGAGAAGUAUGCGGAAUGCGCGGUGUAGCGGUGAAAUGCAUAGAUAUCGCGCAGAACUCCGAUUGCGAAGGCAGCAUGCCGGCUCCACACUGACGCUGAGGCACGAAAGCGUGGGUAUCGAACAGGAUUAGAUACCCUGGUAGUCCACGCAGUAAACGAUGAAUGCUGGCUGUCCGGGGGGACUGACCCCUGGGUGGCGAAGCGAAAGCGAUAAGCAUUCCACCUGGGGAGUACGCCGGCAACGGUGAAACUCAAAGGAAUUGACGGGGGCCCGCACAAGCGGAGGAACAUGUGGUUUAAUUCGAUGAUACGCGAGGAACCUUACCCGGGCUCAAACGGGGAGUGGCGCAGGCAGAGACGCCUGUUUCCCACGGGACACUCCCCGAGGUGCUGCAUGGUUGUCGUCAGCUCGUGCCGUGAGGUGUCGGCUUAAGUGCCAUAACGAGCGCAACCCCCGCGUGCAGUUGCUAACAGUCAACGCUGAGGACUCUGCACGGACUGCCGGCGCAAGCCGCGAGGAAGGCGGGGAUGACGUCAAAUCAGCACGGCCCUUACGUCCGGGGCGACACACGUGUUACAAUGGGUGGUACAGCGGGAAGCCAGGCGGCGACGCCGAGCGGAACCCGAAAUCCACUCUCAGUUCGGAUCGGAGUCUGCAACCCGACUCCGUGAAGCUGGAUUCGCUAGUAAUCGCGCAUCAGCCAUGGCGCGGUGAAUACGUUCCCGGGCCUUGCACACACAACCCGUCAAG